GUCCUUUAGAAUUUGAUUUAAGGUCUAGCCUGCCCACUGAAUUAUUUUAAAUGGCCGCAGUAAUUUGACUGUGCAAAGGUAGCAUAAUCAUUAGUUUUUUAAUUAAAAGCUUGAAUGAAGGGUUGGACGAAGUAAAAUCUGUCUCUAAUUAAUUUAAUUUAGAAUUUAACUUUUAAGUCAAAAGGCUUAAAUUUCAUUAAAAGACGAGAAGACCCUAUAGAUCUUUAUAAUUUAUUUAUUAAUUUUAAUUAAGAAUUUUUUAAAUUUUAUUAUUAUAAUUAUUUUAUUGGGGUAAUGUAAAGAUUUAUACAAUUCUUUUUUAUUAUUAACAUUAAUGUAUGUAUUUAUGAUCCAAUUAUAUUGAUUAUAAGAUUAAGUUACCUUAGGGAUAACAGCGUAAUUUUUUUAGAGAGUUCUUAUCGAUAAAAAAGUUUGCGACCUCGAUGUUGGAUUAAAGAUUAUUUCAGGUGCAGAAGUUUGAAAAAUUUGGUCUGUUCGACCAUUAAAUCUUUACAUGAUCUGAGUUCAGACCGGCGUAAGCCAGGUCGGUUUCUAUCUUUAAUAAAUUAAAAUAUUUUAGUACGAAAGGACCAAUUAUUUAAUAUAAAAUAUUUAAAUUUUGAUUAUUAAUA
rnacentral:rRNA from 1 species